UACGAGGGGGGCGAGCGUUGUUCGGAAUUAUUGGGCGUAAAGGGUGCGUAGGCGGUUUGGUAAGUCUGAUGUGAAAUCUAUGGGCUCAACUCAUAGUCUGCAUCGGAAACUGCCGGGCUUGAGUGUGGGAGAGGUGAGUGGAAUUCCUGGUGUAGCGGUGAAAUGCGUAGAUAUCAGGAGGAACACCUGUGGCGAAAGCGGCUCACUGGACCAUAACUGACGCUGGAUGCACGAAAGCUAGGGGAGCAAACAGG
rnacentral:rRNA from 1 species